CUAGUGACUGGUGGACCCCAUCAGAUAUACAUAGUGCCAAAGGGGAAUAUGAAGCUAGGUCCCCUUGCAGGGCCAACACGGAACUCCAUGGCUUGAAGCAUCUCCAGACAUCUGCCGCCUCCAAUGAACCACCUUUGAUUCUCGUGAAGGCCACACUGUAGGAUGGACAGGAUUCUGCAUCUAGAAGCUGUUGGAAAAACACCACUGCACCUUAAUUUCUCCCUGGGAUGGCCAUGAACUUGGAGCUGGAGCUUGUGGCCAAGGUUUCUUCUUUUGCAAGUCAGCUCAAUAGAAGGCUGCCCAGGGCAAGGGCUGGAGGACUAUUGCCCCACUCUGGAGCUGCUGUCAACUCUCUGCAUUGGGCUAAGGUCACUUGACUCAUUGGCCAAACCCUAGGAGCAGCUGAGGUACACUCUUGGGCCAACGCUGAGGAUGUUUUCUCCAGAGUCCAUUGGUCACCCAAGUGGGUUCCUGGCUGGGUUUCCAGGAAUUCCUCAGAUACUGUGUCAACCCAGAUGGUUGGCUCCACAGAUGGCCAUCUGGGCACAACUGCCUUGUGAGUCAGCAGCAUGCACACAGAAGGUUCUGUGUGGCAGCUGGAAGGGUGGGAGGCCAGCCAGCCACUCUUCCUGCCUUCCGCCAGCAUGGGGAACUCACAGAACAUGGGCUUUGGGGGACAGCGCUGGCCUUUAACUGAUCAGCAGUGAAUUCCCCAUUCUGUAAUGGAGUGGUCUAUGAAACACUUGAGUGGGUUGUGUUCCUCUUCUGCACUGAAUACCCUGGAGCUCCUUGAUGUACUUGAAACAUGACUUGAACUCAAGAGUUGCUCACAAACACCGUCACCCAUCUUCCCUGGUGCCCCUGAGAUACCAAUCCACCCAUCCUCCUUCCCCAGGUGCUAGCCCAUCAGCCCCUCUGCCUAAGGAUCCAUGAGAGUGCCAUUUCAGCACUACCUCCUCAGAGAGGCUUCACCUGUCCACCCUGUGUAACAGCCUCAUGACUUUCCAUUAUGCUUCUCACUUUAUCUUCUUUAUGACCGGAGAGCAAAGAAUGAGCAGGAAGUUCCUUAUCUGUCAUGACCCUCCUGUCAUUGCUAUGCCUAGGUCGGUACCCAACUCACAGAGGGUCCAUGAUAUACAUUUGUUGAAUAAAUAAUGAAAGACCCUCUUGAGAGGAAGCACA